CUGCGGAGGACAUUGUCGAACCUGCCAAGCAGAACGACCCGCGAACUAGUAUGAUAACCAUCGGGGGUGCUUUUUGCCCCCCUUACCGGGUGCGCUGUUGAACUGCGUUCCCCGGCCAAAAACAAACCCCGACGCGAAUUGCGUCAAGGAACUUUGACAAGAGAAGCACGCGCCCCCCCCGCCCUCGCUCGCGAGUGACGUUACUUGGGGGGUAGAUGCAUCUUCUUCAUGAACAGAACGACUCUCGGCAACGGAUAUCUCGGCUCUCGCAUCGAUGAAGAACGUAGCGAAAUGCGAUACUUGGUGUGAAUUGCAGAAUCCCGUGAACCAUCGAGUCUUUGAACGCAAGUUGCGCCSGAAGCCACCAAGCCGAGGGCASGCCKGCCUGGGCGUCUCACAUCGCCUCGUCCCCUCGCCCUGUACCCGCAAAGGGUCCUCGGGUUAGUGGGGGCGGAUUUUGGCCCCCCGUGUGCCCUGGCGCUGCGCGGUCGGCCUAAAAAAGAGUCCCUGGCGGCGAGCGUCACGAUGAGUGGUGGAUGUGAUAGCACGUUUGCGUCAUGUCGUGCACGUCUUGUCCCGGCGGGUUGUCUUUGUUUUCGACCCUAAGAAAGCACCGUGGAAAAAAGGUGCCUCGGCCGCGACCCCAGGUCAGGC
rnacentral:sRNA from 1 species